rnacentral:rRNA from 1 species
UACAGAGGGUGCGAGCGUUGUCCGGAAUCACUGGGCGUAAAGCGCCCGUAGGCGGAUUUCUAAGUCAGGGGUGAAAUCCUGGAGCUCAACUCCAGAACUGCCUUUGAUACUGGGAAUCUCGAGUCCGGGAGAGGUGAGUGGAACUGCGAGUGUAGAGGUGAAAUUCGUAGAUAUUCGCAAGAACACCAGUGGCGAAGGCGGCUCACUGGCCCGGUACUGACGCUGAGGUGCGAAAGCGUGGGGAGCAAACAGG